rnacentral:misc_RNA from 1 species
GUAGGUGAACCUGCGGAAGGAUCAUUAUUGAAAUAAAGGCUGUUGCUGGUCCUCACUGAGGACAUGUGCACGCUUGUUGUUAUUUUUCCAACUGUGCACAUAUUGUAGACCUGGAAGUCUUUUAUUGUUGGGAUAGAUUGAGGACUGCCAAUGCGGCUUUGCCCUGUAUUUCCAGGUCUAUGUUGUAAUACAAACGAAUGAAUGUCGAGUACUGGAAAAUAUGAAAUAAUAAUACAACUUUCAGCAACGGAUCUCUUGGCUCUC